CCAAGGCUAACCAAGGAAGUCAGAAGGAUAGAGAAUCAAGUUAAAGCACCAUCCUUCAAUUAAGCUUUACCAAUUAUAUUUUGAUCUGUAUCCUGUUUCUAAGCUGGUUCAGAAAGGGAGAAGACUGUGAUAAUUUACUAUUCCCACAUAUCUCUAAACCUAGCAAAUGUCUUCCGCACAAUGCCUAGCCCAGUCAGUGCAUGUACCCAUUAUGUGUUGCUGCUGCUAUUGGAUGUAGAAAAAUAGACUAGAACUUAAUAUUGGUUCAAUUAUUCUUUUUCUUUUUUUCUGAGACAAGGUCUCACUCUGUUACUCAGGGUGGUGUGUAGUGGUGCAAUUACAGUUCACUGCAGCUUUGACUCCUGGGCUCAAGCGAUCCUCCCACCUUAGCCUACAGAAUAGCUGGGACUACAAGCACAUGCCACCACAUCUGCCUAUUUUUUUUUAUUUUGUUGUAGAGAUGGGGUCUCAUUAUGUUGCCCCAGGCUGGUUUGGAACUCCUAGGCUCAAGUGAUCUUCCUGCCUUGGACUCCCAAAGUGCUGAGAUUUAGGUGCAAGCCACGGUACCCAGACCAAUUAUUCUUUUACUUUGAAAAAAAUAGACUGUAAAUAUUUUUACAAGAUUAGAUAUUAACAGCUAGGAUCCACAAAGCACAUAAAGUUUAUACUUUUACACCUAAGUUACAAUUAAAAAUAUAUAAACUUACAUUUUAAAUUUAUAUUUAUGCAUGUUUACAUCCCUCUACUCAAGCAUGCAGUGAAUAUGGGUAACAUAAAAUAUGAAAAGAGAAAAAUAGAAAAACGCAUUCUCUAAAGCCUAUCUCUUUAGAUCAGAAACAGAAACUCAAAGUUUUGAGAUGAGAGGCUUUCUGGACUCUGCGAUAAGCAGGCAAUGGCAUCUAAGUGUUUGGCCCCUGUGUGCUAAUAGAGGCAAAAAAAAAAAAAUAAUAAAAAAUAAAAAAAACCCAACUAUAUCACAAUAAAUGGAGACCUAAAGUCUGUCUCAUUAGUUAAAGCUCAAACUUAAAUCUUACUACUGAUCCCUAGAUUAUGGUAGCAGGCUUAGGAAAAUGGCAACUAACUGUUACCUGCAACAAUGUUUUGUAGCAAGCUAUGGUCCGGGUCAGUAACAGAACCAAGCUCGGAAACCAUAAACUGAACCAAGAAACCUGGUGGACUAGUGAAUACUUCUGUGAUAUCCCUAGUGUCUCCUCUGGCAGGAGCGCUGAAAUCAUGAAGUGUUAGGCUGUUAGAGCUAGUGACUGCUAAACAGAGAUGGGUAAGUACAGAGGAAAAUUUUAAAAAAAUUCCCAUCUAAGUGCACAAAUGAUAUUACACAGAAAUCAAAUGCUAAAAUUACAGCCAACAAAAUCAAAAUUCAAAAUAUAAAUAUAAUUUCAGUGGAGGUUGACAAAAAUUUUAAGUGAAGUUUCUGAGGAUGUUUGAAGAGAUAAAUGAAGAAAUAAGUUUGAUUAAAAAGAAUAGAAUAUUUGGUAAAAUGAAGGUAAAAUAUAAAGUAAGAGGGCCAGGCGCAGUGGCUCACGCCUGUAAUCCCAGCACUUUGAGAGGCUGAGGCGGGCGGAUCACAAGGUCAGGAGAUCAAGACCAUCCUGGCUAACACAGUGAAACCCCGUCUCUACUAAAAAUACAAAAAAUUAGCUGGGCGUGGUGGCGGGUGUCUGUAGUCCCAGCUACUCGGGAGGCUGAGGCAGGAGAAUGGCGUGAACCUGGGAGGCACAGCUUGCAGUGAUCCGAGAUAGCACCACUGCACUCCAGCCUGGGUGACAGAGCAAGACUCCAUCUCAAAAAAAAAAAAAAAAAAAAAAAAAGUAAGAGGAAGUAAUAAACUCGAAAUCUUGAAAGUAAAAAAUAUAUAUUUAAAAAACAUAAAACUAUUUUAAUGGAUUCCGUAAAUGGUGCAUACAUUUGAAGGGAAUUAGUGAUUUGGAGGAAGGUACCUUCAUCUAAAGUUCUUCAUAAUAGAGACACAAAAGGCCAGGUAAAUGGUGUAUAGGUUAAUAAGGAGGGUAGCAAUAGAAUAAGGGAAUGAAAGGAAUGAUAGAAAAGCAUAUAUGAAUAGAAAAUAUUUGAUAAUUUUCCAGAAUUCAUUAGAUCAAAACUUUACUCUGAAUGAAAAAUGAAUAAAAAUAAUUUUAAUUUAGACUCAUCGUGUUGAAUUUUACUAACAAGAGGGAUAAUUCAUUUAUCUUAAUGGUUUCUAGAUUGAGGAGAAAUCCAAAUUAAUACAUUUUAGGCAAAUUUUUUUAUCAGCAAAAGUAGAUAACAGAAAACAGUAUAUUCAUAUCUUUAAAGGACUGAAAAUUUAAACUUAAAUUUUUAUACCCAGCUAUAUUAUUUUUCAAAAAUGAAGACAAAAUAUUCUUUAAACAUUUUUCAGAACUAAGAAAUUUUACUAUCAAUUAAUAGGCCUUUAUAAAGGAAUUGUUAAAAAAUAAAAUUUAGCAAGAAGGAAGGCCAGCACAGAGGGAAGAUGAUGAAUGCAAAAUUGAUAAAAUAUGUUGAUAAAUAUAUUGAAUUUUGAUAUAGAGGUAAAACAGCCCAGCUUGUGUGCUUUUUCUUAUUUUGUUCAAGGUAAUAAGAUGGGAGAAAUUAUGAGCUUUAAUAUAGAAGCUAUCCUGAAAAAGCUUCUAAUGGCCAAAGAUGGAACAAUUUGAAGAGCAAAAUAAAUGACGUAGUGUAGGAUUGUAACUCAAAGCAAAAAAUAAAUAAACAUCUAUAAGUCCAUAUUGAUAUGAACACAUUAUUAAACAAAUAAAAGAAAGAAAAGAUACAAAUCUUCCAUACAGAAGAAUACUACAUAACAUGUUAACACUCCCUUUCUUAAGGAGUUAGUGCUUAGCUCUCUGUCUCUUGAAAAUGGGUUACACUUAAUAACCUGCUUCCAAUGAAUACAGUGUGGAAGGGGAGAAAAGUGUCUUCACAAUAGAAAAAUCCUGCCAACACUACCUUGCCAGGGGAUCGAGAUUAACUACAUCACUGAUAAUUAAUGUGGAUAGUAUGUAACUGUCAUAUGAUAUGAUGAAAAUGACACUUCAUCUCUACUGUCUUCCUUUUUAAAAACUUUAGUCAAAUCAUGAGAAAACCACACUGAGAAAAUGGGGGAGAGGGGGGCUAAUGUUGCUGGAAAUUUAGGAAGGAAUAAAAAGAGGGGAGAGUUAUGAGGGGCCCAGAAGGCUUUUUAGUGAAAUUGAAAUGUAAAUAUACGAAAAUAAAAUGAGGGAAAAUGAAGGCCAGAUUCAGAUCCAACUGGACGGACAGAAAGAACUAGUGAGCUUUUAAAGCUUUAACAAUGAAAAGAGACAGAAAAUUGUCAAGUAAUGUGUGGCAAUAUCCAGACAGGAUUUAACUUUAAAAAGUGAGAACUCCUGGACAAGUUGAAGGGAAAGAGAAACAGAUUUUGUGAAUGGUGAUGCUGUUUUGGAAAAUUUGGUUUUCUAAACCAAGUUUGAGUGCCUAUACCAUGGGACAGAACUCAGGCUAAGUAGGUAGGAUAAGGCUCCCUCGUUUAUGAUUUAUACAUGACGUUGAUGGGAAAUGGUUCCCUUUUUUAAUUUCUAUUUUUUAAGAGCAAUCCAUCAUCUACAAUGUUGUAUAGAAGGCAAGUCUACAUAAUCUAAACAUAGGGUGGCCAUGGGAGUCUCAGAUUCCAGAUCUCAGUUUUCUCCAAAGAGGAGGCUUGGAAGAGAAGAUUUUACCAGAUACAGGUGUGGUAAGAGGGAAUUCCUAGAAAGUACUGAAAGCAAGAGUUGAGGACUAUGUACUUUGCAUCAAAGGGAUCACUCUUAAAUGAAUUUUCUCAUGCUCUAGUAAAUUCAAUGAGGCACUUGUCUUAACUACAGGUGGUUCCCACUUACGGCAAUUUGACUUAUAAUGAGUCAUAGGCUCAGUGCUCUGCCAGUUACUCAGAGCCCUGGCAGAAGGCCACACACAGCUACAUCAUUGGCACUGUCUUCUUUCUGACAGGCACCAAUAUUUAAGACCCUUUUGCCUGGGUCCUUGACUUUAGAUGACCUCUUAAAAGCCUUGCAGCUUCCUCGGUGUGGGUUCUCUAUGGUACUUGUUUUCAAACAUUCCUGCUAA
rnacentral:lncRNA from 10 species